rnacentral:rRNA from 1 species
GCGGCGGACGGGUGAGUAACACGUGGGCAACCUGCCCUGUAGAUUGGGAUAACUCCGGGAAACCGGGGCUAAUACCGAAUAAUCCAUUUCCUCUCAUGGGGAGAUGUUAAAAGACGGUUUCUGCUGUCACUACCGGAUGGGCCCGCGGCGCAUUAACUAGUUGGUGAGGUAACGGCUCCCCCAGGGGACCAAGCCUAACCCAACUGAAAGGGUGAUCGGCCCCCCUGGGACUGAGACACGGCCCAGACUCCUACGGGAGGCAGCAGUAGGGAAUCUUCCACAAUGGACGAAAGUCUGAUGGAGCAAUGCCGCGUGAGUGAAGAAGGUUUUCGGAUCGUAAAACUCUGUUGUGAGGGAAGAACAAGUAUGAGAGUAACUGCUCGUACCUUGACGGUACCUCAUUAGAAAGCCACGGCUAACUACGUGCCAGCAGCCGCGGUAAUAC